CUGGCUGCCACUGACACAGUGACAGUAAAGGCCUAUAAAGAAAACUAUUUCCUUCUGGUCAAGAGAAAGAAAUUUCUGGUUUGGGUGGAGACUGUUGUAACAUUCCAGCUGGACAGGUCAGUAACGUGGCUAAGGGACCACCCUUCAGGAGAAUGAGGUCACCCUGAGGAAGGAAGGAUCACCUUAAGCCAUGCUAAUGGGAGGUCAAUGUUUCAUCUUAGGAUCGAGAUGCUGAGGAAAUCACUAUAGUCAUGGAAAGAGUUCUCAGACAAAGGCAAUGCUGCAUUUGUGAACCAGUAGAUGUGGAGAACAGGAAGAGAUGAGUACCACCUUCAAGUGCAAACCCGGCUUGCCCCGUCAUCACUGUCUACUUCCCUUAACAACAAAAAAGGAAACUCCUGCUGAUGGCCCCUGACCACAUAACUAAACUAUUAGACAGUUUUCUAAAGAGAUUCAAUAUAUCUAUGUUUAUAAAGAUCA